rnacentral:misc_RNA from 1 species
UGUCUGGAUUAUUUCCUUUCCAAUGCGGUUUGAAGCUACUAGAGGUACCUGAAUUUGUGAAGGCAUACAUUAACCCCCAUUCCAUGGAAAUCCACGACAAGACAUUAGACAUCAAAAUGGAAAUGUUGCAUUGCAUACAGAAGACAUUCACAAUUGAUGACAUGCCUGUUUACCACUACAAACACACUUCAUCAUCACUAUGGGAACUUUCUUCAUUUAAAAGCGAAUAUUGUUCAUGAACAUCAUUCAUACAUAUAUCACCAGUUUAAGUUUACUUUUCCUAUUAAGAUCCCUCUUCCUUUAACGGGAUGGAAAGCAAGGAAGAGUUAACAUCAACAAUUUUUAAAUUGUAACUAACAGUAAUAAUCUUUUUACUUGACUUUCUACUACAAAGAAAGGAUAUACUAGACAAAAAAUUUUGUUUUGAGGCACAGCAGACCUGUCCAAGUACUGUUUAACGACCAGACAGGAUUUUGUUGAAUAAGGUGGACUAUGAAACAUUAAAAACAAGCUCUUAAAAGGCAAGAAAAAAAUGAUAAUCAGGAUAGAAAAACUAAGUUGGGAGCAAUGUGAUCAACACCAAAAUUAAAACAGAAUCACCAAUCUAACAGUAUGCUUUCUUACAACAUUAGCCCUAGCAUGCCCCUGCAUCACUAGCUUCCAGUGAUCACAAGAAUCAAGUCCUUCAUCUUGAGGUUCUGAACCAAUAGCAGUAGGGUAAAAUAAAAUUUCUGCACCUUGCAGAACCAUAGCUCUGGCUGCCUCUGGAAACCACUAAUCCCAGCAUAUCGCUGACAUAAAGUCAGGGAAAAAAAGGUGCUGCAUCAGUUACCAGCAUAUUCAAGACUAACUUGUUUUAAGUAAAUGAUAAAAAUAGCAUCAUCCUCUGGAUACAGUAAAUUAUGUGAUAUUGACUACAGUAAAAGCACGGCCAACAAAUUAAAUGAUUAGACACUAUCACACUAACAUAGCUAAAAGCAGAAGAAAAAGAGGCCCCUUAAGGGGGGGGGAGGGUAUGAGCAAUCUUCUUACCAACUCCAAUUUUUGCAAACUUAGUUUGGAAAACCUGUUUUCAAAAUGGCAUCUGUAAAAAACCUUUUUGAUAUAAAUCAACUCCAAAUAAAAUAGGAUUCAGAAACUACAAAUUUUAUAUUGAGACAUCUACAAACCAACCUUGAAGCCAGUGUCACCGGG